rnacentral:rRNA from 1 species
CGGAACGGGUGGGUAACGCGUGAGGAACCUGCCUCAAAGAGGGGGACAACAGUUGGAAACGACUGCUAAUACCGCAUAAGCCCACGGGUCGGCAUCGACCAGAGGGAAAAGGAGCAAUCCGCUUUGAGAUGGCCUCGCGUCCGAUUAGCUAGUUGGUGAGGUAAUGGCCCACCAAGGCAACGAUCGGUAGCCGGACUGAGAGGUUGAACGGCCACAUUGGGACUGAGACACGGCCCAG